rnacentral:lncRNA from 1 species
CAUAACGGAUUUUAAAAAUUUAAAUUAUAAAUUUUUAAUUAUUAAACCUAUAAACCAGCACCCCCUUGAUGAUUAACAAUCAUACAACAUACAUUCAUAAUAAAAUUCAAGCUAUAGAAGAAUACCUACAGCACUUAUUCUAAAUUCGAUAGAACCUCCAUCAGACACCCAAGUGUUCACCCUCCAACGGUAAUCCAUGCAGGGCUA